GGAAGUGCCUUUUUUUCUUACUUUCUCUCUCUCUAUUUUUUUAGUUCUGUAUCUCCAUCAACGUAUCUCGCUGAUGGAGCCUUCAUAUACUCUCGAUAUUUCUUCUUCUCCUAUUUAUCAUUCACUAAUUCACGCUUCUGAUAAUUUUCACGCGGAUUUGCGGGAAUUACAAUCAAUUUUCUUUAUGGCGGCGAUAAUUUUGAUAUGGAAUCGUGCCAUAAUAUCAUACAAAUUAACUCAUAAAUCUCUUAUUGAUUCAUAUAAAUAUUCGAUUACUUCUUCGUUUUCUCUAUUGCUUAUGUGGGUUUUUGAACUUUAAGAAUUUGCAACAAUGGAGAAGUCAAAUCAACCACAAAAAAUAUUUUGAACAAUUAUUUGGGCAGAGGAUUGAAAUUGGAUGUCUCGGCUAUCAAGGCUAUCAGGAAUACCUACUGUGAUUCUCCUUCAAGAAGUAGUGAAAAUGUUUUACCACUUUCUCGUCCCAACUUUGAGUUGUUGUAUGAAACUCCAGAAAGGUCUGCAAACCAAAGGCGUUUGCAGACCAAAGGAGUUCAAUUAGGGAGAUUAGGGAGCAAAGGAUCGAGGGUCUGACAAUUGUUUCUAAAGUACCUUCACACUCUACUCCCAAAAGUUAUAAUCAAGUUGCAAAACCAAACAUGGAUGAAUUAGGUAUAAGUAACCAUAAACCGACAAGAAAGUUAGAUGAGAAGAAACUAGCAAAAGGGGUUGGAGAUGAAUUUCAGGAUAUACAAUUUCAGUUUGUGAAACACAACAAAAGAAGAAAGAUUGAUGGGGCCAGCGAGCAGAUAGCAAAUUUGAAGGUAUUUUAUGUUUGUAUUUAAGAUUAUCGCAACAUCAGUUAUACUUGUAAAUUUUAUCAGUUGUAGUUUCUUUUUUAAUUUAUCCGUAUAAGGUAUAAAUGUCAGUUGGUAUCAGUGAAUUUGCGCUUGUUACGGGUCUGAAAUGUACUGGUAUGGCGUAUAAACGUUAUGAUACUAAUCAAAGUUGUAGUUUGAUUGAUCGA